rnacentral:lncRNA from 1 species
UGAAAUAUUUUUUGCAGUUGUUUUGAGUUCAAAAUGGCAGCGAAGUACAUUCUUUCUUCAAUUGUGGGAACAGCUGCAAUUGCAUAUGUAUGCGACAAUUUAAUUGCUGACCAGAAGAUUUUUGGAGGCAAGUUCUUGCUAGCUUCUUUAAAACUCUGCUAUGUUUUAUGGUAUAAACUUACUCGGAUUUCAUUUCAGGCACUACUCCAAAGACUAUCUCAAGUACAGAAUGGUGGGUAGAGACUGACAAGAAGUUUCAGGCAUGGCCUCGUACUGCUGGUCCCCCUGUGGUCAUGAACCCUAUCAGCCGCCAAAAUUUCAUUGUCAAAUCCAGCCUUGAUCAAUGAAGUACUUCCUACUUGUCUUGACCCCUUUUCUGGUUUUCCGAUUAAGCAAAAACUUAAUUUCUAUAGUCAUUGAAAGCAUAGAAGUGAAGAGUGAAUCUCUUGUUGAAUUCUGUUUUGUUUACUUACGCUGAAUGUGAAUUCGUAAUAAGUGUUAUGCUUGCAUACUUGGGGAAUUAUUUCUCAUCUUUUGCAUAUUUGCUCUCUUCUUGGCCUUUCUUCCUCUGGC